rnacentral:rRNA from 1 species
UACGAACUGUGCGAACGUUAUUCGGAAUCACUGGGCUUACAGGGUGCGUAGGCGGCUCAACAAGUCAGGUGUGAAAGCCCCCGGCUCAACCGGGGAACUGCGCUUGAAACUGUUAGGCUCGAGUCAGCUAGAGGUACACGGAACUUCCAGUGGAGCGGUGAAAUGUGUUGAUAUUGGAAGGAACACCGGAGGCGAAAGCGGUGUACUGGGGCUGGGUCUGACGCUGAGGCACGAAAGCCAGGGGAGCGA